UAAUGCUGACUAUAUCGAAUGAUGAUGUCAAUUAUGUGAAUGUAAUUAUGAUGCUUGUUUUAUGAGAAGCUAAACUUAUAUAUUAAGUUUAUGUUUCAUUGCUCAUAAAAAUGGCACUUGAGUGAUAUUCAUGGUCUUUUAUACGUUACUUGUUUUUCAUAAAUUGUUCUUAUGAGAAUCAUUGGAUUAUUAAAGUUUCCAUAUCCAUAUGAUACACUUACUCAACAUCAUAAUGUUCUACUUGUUAUUAAAUUUAGAAUUAUGUAUAGUAUACCUGAUGACCAGUUGAAGUGUAACACUCAGGACUGAUACUUUACAGUCACAAUCAAAUGUUUAAUCGACAGUGUGUCUGUUUCCAAUUAUGAUUGAGAUAUUGUGAUGUUAUUGUAUGUGAAUGGUAAAUGUUCUGCUACUUUAAAUGAAACAAGUAUUUCUGUCUCAUAACUUUAGUUCGGAUUGAGGUAUUGUGCUUUAAUUAUGCUUGUAGGAAUUAUACAUGCAGACCUGGAGUGGGAUUCAUUUCGCACCGGUUGGGUCAAGGUCAUUGUAAAAAGAGAUUAAUACAAUUAUCCUCAAAAACUGUAGUUUGGAUUAAUGUAUUUCGCUGUAAUAUUGUGUGAUGGUAGCUUCAAUGCAUACCCUGCUCUUAUACUUUAUUAAAUCCAACUAAAAAUAUUGGUAAUUAUUUGAAAAUCUAUUUUUUAUGUCUCAUCAGAAAUAGUCUUUAAACAACUCCUUGUAAAUGACUAACUGCUGCAAGAAGCUGUCUUGCAGCUUAUUUCACUUUUUUGGAACAACAAAGACAUCAUUUCACUUAGAAUAUAUUAAGUGUACCUGCAAAUGCAAAUUCUUCUGUAAAUGCGAAAAAGACCCCAGACAACACAAAAACUCAAGUGUUUAACGAAAAGCAAUUUAAAGGUCUAUUGCAUCACUAAUUUGUUUUGUUGGAAUCAAAUGUUGGUCAAACAUGGCAUGCCUUUUAAUAAUUUGUCAAUUUGAUGAACCUGCAGGAAACAUAUCUACGGAUAUAUGUUUACGGUUCCUCGUUUUGGAAGUUCAUAUCUUAAAAUUCACAUUGUAUUGUCCAUUUCAAGUCCAUAAUUUUGCCUCUGGGUGAUUGUAAUGUUAAUUAACAUGAUUUGUUUUUCAAAGCAUUCUUCUGUGUCUGUAACGUCUCGCAUGUUAUAAAGAAGUCCGCUGUUCCAAUGCAGUAUUUUGGAGUAUGAUUACAUGCAAUACAUGCUUUUAUUUGUUAUGCAUAUGGCAAGAAACGAAACCAUUCAUGUCAGUCUAGCUUGAAUGGAAUUCAUAUGCAUGUUGAUUGUCUUGAUAGAUUUUUCUGACUGGCUCUAUGGUUUGAGUGUUUUGUAUAGAAGUGUAUGAUUUGAUAAAUAUACAAUGUAUAAAA